UACGGAGGGUGCAAGCGUUAUCCGGAUUCACUGGGUUUAAAGGGUGCGUAGGAGGGCAGGUAAGUCAGUGGUGAAAUCCCCGAGCUUAACUUGGGAACUGCCGUUGAUACUAUCUGUCUUGAAUAUCGUGGAGGUGAGCGGAAUAUGUCAUGUAGCGGUGAAAUGCUUAGAUAUGACAUAGAACACCGAUAGCGAAGGCAGCUUGCUACACGAGUAUUGACACUGAGGCACGAAAGCGUGGGGAUCAAACAGG
rnacentral:rRNA from 1 species